AGAGUUUGAUCCUGGCUCAGGAUGAACGCUGGCGGCGUGCCUAAUACAUGCAAGUCGAGCGAACAGACGAGGAGCUUGCUCCUCUGACGUUAGCGGCGGACGGGUGAGUAACACGUGGAUAACCUACCUAUAAGACUGGGAUAACUUCGGGAAACCGGAGCUAAUACCGGAUAAUAUAUUGAACCGCAUGGUUCAAUAGUGAAAGACGGUUUUGCUGUCACUUAUAGAUGGAUCCGCGCCGCAUUAGCUAGUUGGUAAGGUAACGGCUUACCAAGGCAACGAUGCGUAGCCGACCUGAGAGGGUGAUCGGCCACACUGGAACUGAGACACGGUCCAGACUCCUACGGGAGGCAGCAGUAGGGAAUCUUCCGCAAUGGGCGAAAGCCUGACGGAGCAACGCCGCGUGAGUGAUGAAGGUCUUCGGAUCGUAAAACUCUGUUAUUAGGGAAGAACAAAUGUGUAAGUAACUAUGCACGUCUUGACGGUACCUAAUCAGAAAGCCACGGCUAACUACGUGCCAGCAGCCGCGGUAAUACGUAGGUGGCAAGCGUUAUCCGGAAUUAUUGGGCGUAAAGCGCGCGUAGGCGGUUUUUUAAGUCUGAUGUGAAAGCCCACGGCUCAACCGUGGAGGGUCAUUGGAAACUGGAAAACUUGAGUGCAGAAGAGGAAAGUGGAAUUCCAUGUGUAGCGGUGAAAUGCGCAGAGAUAUGGAGGAACACCAGUGGCGAAGGCGACUUUCUGGUCUGUAACUGACGCUGAUGUGCGAAAGCGUGGGGAUCAAACAGGAUUAGAUACCCUGGUAGUCCACGCCGUAAACGAUGAGUGCUAAGUGUUAGGGGGUUUCCGCCCCUUAGUGCUGCAGCUAACGCAUUAAGCACUCCGCCUGGGGAGUACGACCGCAAGGUUGAAACUCAAAGGAAUUGACGGGGGCCCGCACAAGCGGUGGAGCAUGUGGUUUAAUUCGAAGCAACGCGAAGAACCUUACCAGGUCUUGACAUCCCGAUGCUAUUUCUAGAGAUAGAAAGUUACUUCGGUACAUCGGUGACAGGUGGUGCAUGGUUGUCGUCAGCUCGUGUCGUGAGAUGUUGGGUUAAGUCCCGCAACGAGCGCAACCCUU
rnacentral:rRNA from 1 species